UAUUCUGCGACAUACUUGGAACGAUGACUUCAAUGUCAUCGUUCGAAGUCAUCGUUCCAAGUAUGUCGCAGAAU
rnacentral:pre_miRNA from 1 species